AUACGGAGGAUGCGAGCGUUAUCCGGAUUUAUUGGGUUUAAAGGGUGCGUAGGCUGUGCGUUAAGUCAGGGGUGAAAUGCCGUCGCUCAACGACGGAGCUGCCCUUGAUACUGGCGUGCUGGAGUACGGAUGCCGUUGGAGGAAUGAGUGGUGUAGCGGUGAAAUGCUUAGAUAUCACUCAGAACACCGCUUGCGAAGGCAUCUGACGAAUCCGUCACUGACGCUGAGGCACGAAAGCGUGGGGAUAGAACAGGAUUAGAUACCCUGGUAUUCCACGCCGUAAACGAUGAUGACUAACCGUCGGCGAUAGACAGCCGGUGGCCAAGCGAAAGCGAUAAGUCAUCCACCUGGGGAGUACGUCGGCAACGAUGAAACUCAAAUGAAUUGACGGGG
rnacentral:rRNA from 1 species